GCAUAACGCGAAGAACCUUACCCAGGCUUGACAUGCAGUAGACAGCGCUAGAAAUAGCGUGUUCCUUCGGGACUGCUGCACAGGUGCUGCAUGGCUGUCGUCAGCUCGUGCCGUGAGGUGUUGGGUUAAGUCCCGCAACGAGCGCAACCCUUAUCGUUAGUUGCCAACAUGUAAAGAUGGGAACUCUAAUGAGACUGCCUGGGUUAACCAGGAGGAAGGUGAGGAUGACGUCAAGUCCGCAUGGCCCUUAUGCCUGGGGCUACACACGUGCUACAAUGGCCGGUACAAAAGGCAGCGAAGCCGUGAGGUGGAGCAAAUCCCAAAAGCCGGCCCAGUUCAGAUUGUAGUCUGCAACUCGACUACAUGAAGAUGGAAUUGCUAGUAAUGGCGAGUCAGCUACAUCGCCG
rnacentral:rRNA from 1 species